GACGAACGCUGGCGGCGUGCUUAACACAUGCAAGUCGAACGGAGAGGCCCUGCUUUUGUGGGGUGCUCGAGUGGCGAACGGGUGAGUAACACGUGAGUAACCUGCCCUUGACUUUGGGAUAACUUCAGGAAACUGGGGCUAAUACCGGAUAGGAGCUCCUGCUGCAUGGUGGGGGUUGGAAAGUUUCGGCGGUUGGGGAUGGACUCGCGGCUUAUCAACUUGUUGGUGGGGUAGUGGCUUACCAAGGCUUUGACGGGUAGCCGGCCUGAGAGGGUGACCGGCCACAUUGGGACUGAGAUACGGCCCAGACUCCUACGGGAGGCAGCAGUGGGGAAUAUUGCACAAUGGGCGGAAGCCUGAUGCAGCAACGCCGCGUGCGGGAUGACGGCCUUCGGGUUGUAAACCGCUUUCGCCUGUGACGAAGCGUGAGUGACGGUAAUGGGUAAAGAAGCACCGGCUAACUACGUG
rnacentral:rRNA from 1 species